rnacentral:rRNA from 1 species
ACGGGUGCGUAACGCGUAUAGAACCUACCUUUUACAGAGGAAUAGCCUUUAGAAAUGAAGAUUAAUGCCUCAUAGUAUUGUAGACUGGCAUCAGUUUACAAUUAAAGAUUUAUCGGUAAAAGAUGGCUAUGCGUCCUAUUAGUUAGUUGGUAAGGUAACGGCUUACCAAGACAGCGAUAGGUAGGGGUCCUGAGAGGGAGAUCCCCCACACUGGUACUGAGACACGGACCAGACUCCUACGGGAGGCAGCAGUGAGGAAUAUUGGACAAUGGAGGAGACUCUGAUCCAGCCAUGCCGCGUGUAGGAAGAAUGCCCUAUGGGUUGUAAACUACUUUUAUACAGGAAGAAACACUGGUAUGUAUACCAGCUUGACGGUACUGUAAGAAUAAGGACCGGCUAACUCCGUGCCAGCAGCCGCGGUAAUACGGAGGGUCCGAGCGUUAUCCGGAAUCAUUGGGUUUAAAGGGUCCGCAGGCGGUCUAUUAAGUCAGAGGUGAAAUCCCAUAGCUCAACUAUGGAACUGCCUUUGAUACUGGUUGACUUGAGUCAUAUGGAAGUAGAUAGAAUGUGUAGUGUAGCGGUGAAAUGCAUAGAUAUUACACAGAAUACCGAUUGCGAAGGCAGUCUACUACGUAUGUACUGACGCUGAGGGACGAAAGCGUGGGGAGCGAACAGGAUUAGAUACCCUGGUAGUCCACGCCGUAAACGAUGGAUACUAGUUGUUGGGAUCUAUCUCAGUGACUAAGCGAAAGUGAUAAGUAUCCCACCUGGGGAGUACGGUCGCAAGACUGAAACUCAAAGGAAUUGACGGGGGCCCGCACAAGCGGUGGAGCAUGUGGUUUAAUUCGAUGAUACGCGAGGAACCCUACCAGGGCUUAAAUGUAGUCUGACAGCUCUAGAGAUAGAGUUUUCUUCGGACAGAUUACAAGGUGCUGCAUGGUUGUCGUCAGCUCGUGCCGUGAGGUGUCAGGUUAAGUCCUAUAACGAGCGCAACCCCUGUCGUUAGUUGCCAGCAUGUUAUGAUGGGGACUCUAACGAGACUGCCUACGCAAGUAGAGAGGAAGGUGGGGAUGACGUCAAAUCAUCACGGCCCUUACGUCCUGGGCCACACACGUGCUACAAUGGUAUGGACAAUGAGCAGCCAUCUGGCAACAGAGAGCGAAUCUACAAACCAUAUCACAGUUCGGAUCGGAGUCUGCAACUCGA